rnacentral:rRNA from 1 species
GAUUAGAUACCCNUCGUAGUCCAUGCCGUAAANCGAUGUGUGUUAGACGUUGGAAAUUUAUUUUCAGUGUCGCAGCGAAAGCGAUAAACACACCGNGCUGGGGAGUACGACCGCAAGGUUAAAACUCAAAUGAAUUGACGGGGACCCGCACAAGUAGUGGAGCAUGUGGUUUAAUUCGAAGAUACGCGCAGAACCUUACCAACACUUGACAUGUUCGUCGCGACUCUAAGAGAUUAGAGUUUUCGGUUCGGCCGGACGAAACACAGGUGCUGCAUGGCUGUCGUCAGCUCGUGUCGUGAGAUGUUGGGUUAAGUCCCGCAACGAGCGCAACCCUCACUUUUAGUUGCCAUCAUUAAGUUGGGCACUCUGAAAGAACUGCCAGUGAUAAGCUGGAGGAAGGUGGGGAUGACGUCAAGUCCUCAUGGCCCUUACGUGUUGGGCUACACACGUGCUACAAUGGUAUCUACAACAGGAAGCAAGACGGCGACGUUAAGCAAAUCCUCAAAAGAUACCUCAGUUCGGAUUGCACUCUGCAACUCGAGUGCAUGAAGCUGGAAUUACUAGUAAUCGUGGAUCAGCGUGCCACGGUGAAUGCGUUCCCGGGUCUUGUACACACCGCCCGUCACACCAUGGGAGUUGGUUCUACCUUAAGGCAAGGUUUUAAACCCUUGACCACGGUAUAGUCAGCGACUGGGGUGAAGUCGUAACAAGGUA